rnacentral:rRNA from 1 species
CCCCACUGCUAUCGGGAUGGGACUAAGACAUGCUAGUUGAGCGCCUUCCAGCCAUGUGGGAGGCGCAGCGUACAGCUCAGUAACACGUGGCUAACCUGCCCUUAGGAUGGGAACAACCCCGGGAAACUGGGGCUAAUUCCCGAUAGGUGAAGAACUCUGGAAUGAGUCUUCGCCCAAAAGGUGUCGGAUCAUGCUCUCGGCAUCGCCUAAGGAUGGGGCCGCGACCGAUCAGGUUGUUGGUGAGGUAAUGGCCCACCAAGCCUAUAACCGGUGCGGGCCGUGAGAGCGGGAGCCCGGAGAUGGGCACUGAGACAAGGGCCCAGGUCCUACGGGGCGCAGCAGUCGCGAAAACUUUGCAAUACACGAAAGUGUGACAGGGUCAUCCCGAGUGCCGACCGCUGAGGUUGGCUUUUACCCAGUCUAGAAAGCUGGGGGAAUAAGGAGAGGGCAAGUCUGGUGUCAGCCGCCGCGGUAAUACCAGCUCUCCGAGUGGUGUGGACGUUUAUUGGGCCUAAAGCAUCCGUAGCUGGCCGAACAAGUCCCCUGUUAAACCCACCGAUUUAAUCGUUGGUCUGCGGGGGAUACUGCUCGGCUAGGGGACGAGAGAGGCAGACGGUAUUCCCGGGGUAGGGGUGAAAUCCUAUAAUCCCGAGAAGACCACCAGUGGCGAAGGCUGUCUGUUAGAACGCGCCCGACGGUGAGGGAUGAAAGCUGGGGGAGCGAACCGGAUUAGAUACCCGGGUAGUCCCAGCUGUAAACGAUGCAGACUAGGUGUUUGGACGGCCACGUGCCGUUCUAGUGCCGCAGGGAAGCUGUUAAGUCUGCCGCCUGGGGAGUACGAUCGCAAGGUUGAAACUUAAAGGAAUUGGCGGGGGAGCACCACAAGGGNUGAAGCUUGCGGUUU